rnacentral:rRNA from 1 species
CAGUGGAGUACUCCUUCUAAGCUAAAUACCGCCAUGAGUCCGAUAGCGAACAAGUACCGUGAGGGAAAGUUGAAAAGCACUCUGAAUAGAGAGUCAAAUAGUACGUGAAACUGCCUAGGGGAAUCAAACCCGUUGAACUCAAUGAUCCGUGCGGCGAUAUUCAGCGGCGGCGCUCGCGCGCUGCCGUGCACUUAUCCGCCCGCAGCCUACACGGACAUCGCGAUCCAUUACCACGGGCACCGCCCCCUGCGGCGCGUGCAAUUCCGGCACCCGAGGCCCCUGGCUCGUGGUGGACGGCUCCCUAGUAGGGUGCGGCUCGCACGCCGCGCCUCGAACGGGGGUUCCGAGCUGUUUCAGCAAUGGAACGGCACGGGUCCGACCGAGCCCCGGUGUGCCGCCGGAAGAGAGUGAUGGAGCUCACGAGCGCGAGGCGCUGGGAGCGGCCUUUCCGGAGGCCUCGAAGCACCCAGCCAUACUCCGAUCGGCGAUGACGCUAUACGCAUUGAGGUACCUCCGGGACCCGUCUUGAAACACGGAAAGGA